rnacentral:rRNA from 1 species
UGACUAAUACCGGAUAACAACAGAUGAUGCCUAUCAACUGUUUAAAAGAUGGUUCUGCUAUCACUCUUGGAUGGACCUGCGGUGCAUUAGCUAGUUGGUAGGGUAACGGCCUACCAAGGCGAUGAUGCAUAGCCGAGUUGAGAGACUGAUCGGCCACAUUGGGACUGAGACACGGCCCAAACUCCUACGGGAGGCAGCAGUC